UACGAAGGGUGCAAGCGUUACUCGGAAUUACUGGGCGUAAAGCGUGCGUAGGUGGUUGUUUAAGUCUGUUGUGAAAGCCCUGGGCUCAACCUGGGAACUGCAGUGGAAACUGGACAACUAGAGUGUGGUAGAGGGUAGCGGAAUUCCCGGUGUAGCAGUGAAAUGCGUAGAGAUGUGGAGGAACACCGAUGGCGAAGGCAGCCUUCUGGGCCAACACUGACGCUCAUGCACGAAAGCGUGGGGAGCAAACAGG
rnacentral:rRNA from 1 species